rnacentral:rRNA from 1 species
AACGCGAAGAACCUUACCAACUCUUGACAUCCCAGUGACCGUUCUAGAGAUAGAACUUUCCCUUCGGGGACAAUGGUGACAGGUGGUGCAUGGUUGUCGUCAGCUCGUGUCGUGAGAUGUUGGGUUAAGUCCCGCAACGAGCGCAGCCCUUGUCCUUAGUUGCCAGCACGUAAAGGUGGGGACUUUAAGGAGACUGCCGGUGAUAAACCGGAGGAAGGUGGGGAUGACGUCAAAUCAUCAUGCCCCUUAUGAGUUGGGCUACACACGUACUACAAUGGCUGGUACAAAGAGAAGCGAACCUGCGAGGGUAAGCGGACCUCAUAAAGCCAGUCUAAGUUCGGAUCGCAGUCUGCAACUCGACUGCGUGAAGUCGGAUUCGCUAGUAAUCGCAGAUCAGAAUGCUGCGGUGAAUACGUUCCCGGGUCUUGUACACACCG